CGAGAUCGCGAGUCUCUGAGGAGCCGAGCGCUGCGCUGCUAAAUGGGCUGAGAGAGGGGUCGAUCGGACGCACCGGACCGCUGGGUUGGAGCCUCUGUUUUCCCGCGGGGAUCGGCAACCUAUAACAAGUUGCAUUAACGAGAUCGAGUCGUCAUCACACCUGUGCAUCAACCGGGGCGCAGUUAGUAAUGUACCCACUUUGGAACCAGAAGCAUGAAUUCAGAGACAUCAAUGCAGAAAAAUCUUGGCUGUAACUCGUACCCAGGCAGUGCUGUGUUGUUGGCAUCAGAGCCUUUUGAAUGGGAUGUUAAGGUCUGGCCCAUAUGCCCUCUUGAAUUUAAUGUUCAAGAUCCCAAGACUCUUCUUUGAAGAGUAGAGGGUAGAGGAGUUCUUCUUGUGUCCUGCUCAAUACUUCAGAUGAGGUAAGGUAAGUGGAGAAAUUGUAGAGAGAAGGGCUGAAAUUCUGCUUGCAAAAGUUGCAGCAAGUCCUGAAGAUUGAAGUUCGGGAACAAAUUUCACAGCUAUUCAACUUCAUGGACAGUUUGCUUAUGAUUAGUUGCCUGCUCCGUGAGGUUGGUGUCUGCAUGCUUCACGCGGUGUGAGGACUGAAACUUGCUGCAGAACAGUGCGUGAUUGGUGGGUGAGAUGGAAACACUGGCCUGGAUACUGGGACAAAGACUCCUAGUCAUUUUUGAAUUAAAGCCCAAAGUCCACUGUAGAGAUCAGGUGUCAUUUCCGGGCAUCGGUUUAAUAUUCUCCUAGAUUUUUCAUGUUCAGAGCAUACAAUUCGAGCAAUGUAGGACUUCAAAAUACUCGAUACCACUGGAACACCAACUUGCCCGAGUGACUUUUUGGAGUUGCUGAGAUGACAGAAAAAGAUUAUCUGAGACGUAAAUUUGAAGUUUCUGUUAAAUCUUGGUUGUGAAGAUGAACCACAUGGAUAAAAUGCUUAAUCAAGAAAGCACAACCAUCCAUAAGACCCAGCAGCAAAUGGAGAACAGACUCUUCAUUGAUAAUUGGACAAUUUGAUUCUCCAAUAUUUUCAUAAUGAAUGGAGUUGAAAAAUUAGUUCCUGAACUCUCCAGCACAAAUAAGAUAC